GCCCUCGUAGCUCAUCUGGAAAGAGCGCUGGUCUACGAAGCCAGAGGCGGCAGGUUCGAGUCCUGCCGAGGGCA
rnacentral:tRNA from 1 species